rnacentral:rRNA from 1 species
UACGGAGGGGGCGAGCGUUAUUCGGAAUUAUUGGGCGUAAAGGGCGCGUAGGCGGCUGUACAAGUCAAAGGUGAAAUCCCUCGGCUCAACUGAGGAACUGCCUUUGAAACUGUACGGCUUGAGGCCGGGAGGGGGUAGCGGAAUUCCCAGUGUAGCGGUGAAAUGCGUAGAUACUGGGAGGAACACCAGUGGCGAAGGCGGCUACCUGGACCGGUUCUGACGCUGAGGCGCGAAAGCGUGGGUAGCAAACGGG